rnacentral:rRNA from 1 species
CGUUGUUGGGUAGGGGAGCGUUCUGUAAGCCUGCGAAGGUGGCCUGUGAGGGUUGCUGGAGGUAUCAGAAGUGCGAAUGCUGACAUAAGUAACGAUAAAGCGGGUGAAAAGCCCGCUCGCCGGAAGACCAAGGGUUCCUGUCCAACGUUAAUCGGGGCAGGGUGAGUCGACCCCUAAGGCGAGGCCGAAAGGCGUAGUCGAUGGGAAACGGGUUAAUAUUCCCGUACUUGGUGUUACUGCGAAGGGGGGACGGAGAAGGCUAUGUUGGCCGGGCGACGGUUGUCCCGGUUUAAGCGUGUAGGUGUGUGUUCCAGGUAAAUCCGGUUCACUUUAACACUGAGGCGUGAUGACGAGGCACUACGGUGCUGAAGUAACAAAUGCCCUGCUUCCAGGAAAAGCCUCUAAGCAUCAGGUAACAUCAAAUCGUACCCCAAACCGACACAGGUGGUCAGGUAGAGAAUACCAAGGCGCUUGAGAGAACUCGGGUGAAGGAACUAGGCAAAAUGGUGCCGUAACUUCGGGAGAAGGCACGCUGACACGUAGGUGAAGUGAUUUACUCACGGAGCUGAAGUCAGUCGAAGAUACCAGCUGGCUGCAACUGUUUAUUAAAAACACAGCACUGUGCAAACACGAAAGUGGACGUAUACGGUGUGACGCCUGCCCGGUGCCGGAAGGUUAAUUGAUGGGGUCAGCGCAAGCGAAGCUCCUGAUCGAAGCCCCGGUAAACGGCGGCCGUAACUAUAACGGUCCUAAGGUAGCGAAAUUCCUUGUCGGGUAAGUUCCGACCUGCACGAAUGGCGUAAUGAUGGCCAGGCUGUCUCCACCCGAGACUCAGUGAAAUUGAACUCGCUGUGAAGAUGCAGUGUACCCGCGGCAAGACGGAAAGACCCCGUGAACCUUUACUAUAGCUUGACACUGAACAUUGAGCCUUGAUGUGUAGGAUAGGUGGGAGGCUUUGAAGUGUGGACGCCAGUCUGCAUGGAGCCGACCUUGAAAUACCACCCUUUAAUGUUUGAUGUUCUAACGUGGACCCGUGAUCCGGGUUGCGGACAGUGUCUGGUGGGUAGUUUGACUGGGGCGGUCUCCUCCUAAAGAGUAACGGAGGAGCACGAAGGUUGGCUAAUCCUGGUCGGACAUCAGGAGGUUAGUGCAAUGGCAUAAGCCAGCUUGACUGCGAGCGUGACGGCGCGAGCAGGUGCGAAAGCAGGUCAUAGUGAUCCGGUGGUUCUGAAUGGAAGGGCCAUCGCUCAACGGAUAAAAGGUACUCCGGGGAUAACAGGCUGAUACCGCCCAAGAGUUCAUAUCGACGGCGGUGUUUGGCACCUCGAUGUCGGCUCAUCACAUCCUGGGGCUGAAGUAGGUCCCAAGGGUAUGGCUGUUCGCCAUUUAAAGUGGUACGCGAGCUGGGUUUAGAACGUCGUGAGACAGUUCGGUCCCUAUCUGCCGUGGGCGCUGGAGAACUGAGGGGGGCUGCUCCUAGUACGAGAGGACCGGAGUGGACGCAUCACUGGUGUUCGGGUUGUCAUGCCAAUGGCACUGCCCGGUAGCUAAAUGCGGAAGAGAUAAGUGCUGAAAGCAUCUAAGCACGAAACUUGCCCCGAGAUGAGUUCUCCCUGAGACUUAGAAGUCUCCUGAAGGAACGUUGAAGACGACGACGUUGAUAGGCCGGGUGUGUAAGCGCAGCGAUGCGUUGAGCUAACCGGUACUAAUGAACCGUGAGGCUUAACCUUAC